GAUGAACGCUGGCGGCGUGCCUAAUACAUGCAAGUCGAGCGAACAGAUGAGGAUCUUGCUCCUCUGACGUUAGCGGCGGACGGGUGAGUAACACGUGGAUAACCUACCUAUAAGACUGGGAUAACUUCGGGAAACCGGAGCUAAUACCGGAUAAUAUAUUGAACCGCAUGGUUCAAUAGUGAAAGGCGGUUUUGCUGUCACUUAUAGAUGGAUCCGCGCCGCAUUAGCUAGUUGGUAAGGUAACGGCUUACCAAGGCAACGAUGCGUAGCCGACCUGAGAGGGUGAUCGGCCACACUGGAACUGAGACACGGUCCAGACUCCUACGGGAGGCAGCAGUAGGGAAUCUUCCGCAAUGGGCGAAAGCCUGACGGAGCAACGCCGCGUGAGUGAUGAAGGUCUUCGGAUCGUAAAACUCUGUUAUUAGGGAAGAACAAAUGUGUAAGUAACUAUGCACGUCUUGACGGUACCUAAUCAGAAAGCCACGGCUAACUACGUG
rnacentral:rRNA from 1 species